UUAUUAACCAGGUUUUCCGAAGGAAAAAACUGGUUAUUAGAUUGGCGAAUGCGGGCGGGCUGGCUGGCUGGCUGGCGGGCUGGCUGGCGGGCUGGCGGAAUAAGCUUGUCCGGGCCAUAACUAUGUCGUUCAUUGUCAGAUUUUAAAAUCAUUUGGCACAUUUGUUCACCAUCAUUGGACGGUGUGUCGCGCGAAAUAAUUACGUCGAUAUCUCCAAGGUCAAGGUCACACUUUGAGUUCAAAGGUCAAAAAUGGCCAUAAAUGAGCUUGUCCUGGCCAUAACUAUGUCAUUCAUUGUGAGAUUUUAAAAUCAUUUGGCACAUUUGUUCACCAUCAUGGGACGGUGUGUCCCACGAAAGAAUCACGUCAAUAUCUCCAAUGUCAAGGUCGCCACGACUAAAAAUAGAUUUAAAAAAAAAAAAAAACUUACAAAGAGGG